CGCGAAACCUUUACACUGCACGACAGUGCGAUAGGGGUACUCCGAGUGCGAGGGCAUAGAGCCCUCGCUUUUCUACACCGUAAGGUGGUGCAGGAACAAGUGCUGGGCAAGACCGGUGCCAGCCGCCGCGGUAAUACCGGCAGCACGAGUGAUGGCCGAUCUUAUUGGGCCUAAAGCGUCCGUAGCUGGCCGUGCAAGUCCGUCGGGAAAUCCAGUGGCUCAACCUCUGGGCUUCCGGCGGAAACUGCUCGGCUUGGGACCGGAAGACUCGAGGGGUACGUUCGGGGUAGGAGUGAAAUCCCGUAAUCCUGAACGGACCACCGAUGGCGAAAGCACCUCGAGAGCACGGAUCCGACAGUGAGGGACGAAAGCUAGGGUCUCGAACCGGAUUAGAUACCCGGGUAGUCCUAGCUGUUAACGAUGCCCGCUCGGUUCGGCGCAGGCUACGAGCCUGUGCCGCGCCUCAGUGAAGACGUAAGCGGGCCGCUUGGGAAGUACGUCCGCAAGGAUGAAACUUAAAGGAAUUGGCGGGGGAGCACUACAACCGGAGGAGCCUGCGGUUUAAUUG
rnacentral:rRNA from 1 species